rnacentral:rRNA from 1 species
AGAGUUUGAUCAGGGCUCAGGAUGAACGCUAGCUACAGGCUUAACACAUGCAAGUCGAGGGGCAGCAUGAACUUAGCUUGCUAAGUUUGAUGGCGACCGGCGCACGGGUGAGUAACACGUAUCCAACCUGCCGAUGACUCGGGGAUAGCCUUUCGAAAGAAAGAUUAAUACCCGAUGGCAUAGUUCUUCCGCACGGUGGAACUAUUAAAGAAUUUCGGUCAUCGAUGGGGAUGCGUUCCAUUAGGUUGUUGGG